rnacentral:rRNA from 1 species
GACGAACGCUGGCGGCGUGCUUAACACAUGCAAGUCGAACGGAAAGGCCCUGCUUUUGUGGGGUGCUCGAGUGCGAACGGGUGAGUAACACGUGAGUAACCUGCCCUUGACUUUGGGAUAACUUCAGGAAACUGGGGCUAAUACCGGAUAGGAGCUCCUGCUGCAUGGUGGGGGUUGGAAAGUUUCGGCGGUUGGGGAUGGACUCGCGGCUUAUCAGCUUGUUGGUGGGGUAGUGGCUUACCAAGGCUUUGACGGGUAGCCGGCCUGAGAGGGUGACCGGCCACAUUGGGACUGAGAUACGGCCCAGACUCCUACGGGAGGCAGCAGUGGGGAAUAUUGCACAAUGGGCGGAAGCCUGAUGCAGCAACGCCGCGUGCGGGAUGACGGCCUUCGGGUUGUAAACCGCUUUCGCCUGUGACGAAGCGUGAGUGAUGGUAAUGGGUAAAGAAGCACCGGCUAACUACGUG